rnacentral:rRNA from 1 species
AACGAACGCUGGCGGCAGGCCUAACACAUGCAAGUCGAACGCUCCGCAAGGGGGAGUGGCGCACGGGUGAGUAACACGUGGGAACCGUACCUUCUGGUACGGAACAACCAAGGGAACUCUGGCUGAUACCGGUAUACGACCUCCGGGUGAAGAUUGAUCGCCGGAAGAGGGGCCCGCGUCCGGAUUAGGUAGUUGGUGAGGUAACGGCUC